UAGAGACUCAGAGCUGCAUAUCAAUAAGCGGAGGAAAAGAAACUAACAAGGAUUCCCUUAGUAACGGCGAGUGAAGCGGGAAGAGCUCAAAUUUGAAAUCUUAAAGGUUUUACCUUGACGAAUUGUAGUUUAAAGAAGUGUUUUCUGUUGAAGUUUUGGUAAAAGUUCUUUGGAAUAGGACAUCAUAGAGGGUGAGAAUCCCGUAUUUGACCAUUACUUUCCAGCGUUGUGAUACACUUUCAAAGAGUCGGAUUGUUUGGGAAUGCAGUCCAAAAUGGGUGGUAAAUUUCAUCUAAAGCUAAAUAUUGGCGAGAGACCGAUAGCGAACAAGUACCGUGAGGGAAAGAUGAAAAGAACUUUGAAAAGAGAGUUAAACAGUACGUGAAAUUGUCAAAAGGGAAGCGUUUGACACCAGUGUUGUUUUUCCGAAAAUCAAUUAUAAAUGUUUUGUUUCUGAGGAGUGAUGACUUCAUCGGCUUCCUUCUCUCUUCACGAAACUUUUGUAAUGCACUUUUCGGUUAACAAGUCAACAUCAAUUUCUUUUGUUGUAAAAGAGUAUUCGGAAGGUGGCUUUCUUUUCGGAGAAAGUGUUUAUAGCCCUAUACUUCUACAAUCGGAGAGAUUGAGGUCUGCAGCGUAGAUCCUUCGGGGUUAGAUACAUUUGUGCUAAGUUAUAGCCUUUCAUAGACAACUUGUUGACUAUGAUCAGUCAUGUAGCUUACUCGCUUAUGCUAUUUUACCUACGCUUAGGAUGUUGAAGUCAUCGUAUCGCGC
rnacentral:rRNA from 1 species